GAUCAUGGCUCAGAACGAACGCUGGCGGCACGCUUAACACAUGCAAGUCGAACGGUGCAAUGGGGCUUGCCCUAUGCAUAGUGGCGGACGGGUGAGUAACACGUAGGAACCUACCUGGUAAUGGUGGAUAGCUUCGGGAAACUGGAGGUAAUACAGCAUGAGCUCGAGAGAGGAAAGGCCAUAAGGUCGUUACCAGAGGGGCCUGCGGAUGAUUAGGUAGUUGGUGGGGUAAAGGCCUACCAAGCCGACGAUCAAUAGCUGGUCUGAGAGGAUGAUCAGCCACACUGGAACUGAGAUACGGUCCAGACUCCUACGGGAGGCAGCAGUGGGGAAUAUUGGACAAUGGGGGGAACCCUGAUCCAGCGAUGCCGCGUGAGUGAAGAAGGCCUUAGGGUUGUAAAGCUCUUUUGAUAGGGACGAUGAUGACGGUACCUAUAGAAUAAGCACCGGCUAACUCUGUGCCAGCAGCAGC
rnacentral:rRNA from 1 species